rnacentral:lncRNA from 1 species
UUUUGGGGUGAUUUCGGGCCGUUUUUGGGGCUAUUUUGGGGCUAUUUUGGGGUGAUUUGGGGUUCCCUGACCCCCCUCUCCCUCCCCAGCGCCUCCUGCGGGGUCCCUGCGCCGCCACCCUCGGGGGGCUCGGCCGCCUCCUGCGGGGGGCGGGGCCAGAGGGGGCGGGGCCGGAACCGCCCUUCGAGGUGCUGGGCGAGGUGCCGUUGGAGCCCCGCCCCUCCCCCGCUCGGGGGCCGCCAUUGGCUGUCGCCGAUUGGGGGCGGGGCCUGGACCCGGAAGUGCUGCGGGAGCGAAUCUUCAGAGGGGGUGUGGUCCCCGAGCUCCGGCCCCGGGCCUGGCCCUUCCUGCUGGGGCUGCGGAAUUUGGGGGACCCCGGGGGGACCCCCGAGAGCCCCGAGGGGACCCCGGACCCCGCCCGGGCCCGCAGGUCAGAGGGGGGGUCAAAAUUGGGGUUCGGGGGUCAAAAUUGGGGGGUGGGGGGGUC